rnacentral:rRNA from 1 species
CGUCCGAUUAGGUAGUUGGUGAGGUAACGGCUCACCAAGCCCGCGAUCGGUAGCCGGACUGAGAGGUCGAUCGGCCACAUUGGGACUGAGACACGGCCCAGACUCCUACGGGAGGCAGCAGUGGGGGAUAUUGCACAAUGGAGGAAACUCUGAUGCAGCGACGCCGCGUGAGGGAAGAAGGUCUUCGGAUUGUAAACCUCUGUCUUUGGGGACGAGAAAGUGACGGUACCCAAAGAGGAAGCCACGGCUAACUACGUGCCAGCAGCC